rnacentral:rRNA from 1 species
AUUGAACGCUGGCGGCAGGCCUAACACAUGCAAGUCGAGCGAAGCGGCGGAUGGGUGAGUAACGCGUGGGUAACCUGCCCUUAAGUCUGGGAUACCAUUUGGAAACAGAUGCUAAUACCGGAUACUAAAGGAUGGACCUGCGAUGAAUUAGCUAGGUGGUAAGGUAACGGCUUACCAAGGAGAUGAUGAAUAGCCGAGUUGAGAGACUGAUCGGCCACAUUGGGACUGAGACACGGCCCAAACGCCUACGUGAGGCAGCAGUAGGGAAUCUGCCACAAUGGACGAAAGUCUGAUGGAGCAACGCCGCGUGAGUGAAGAAGGUUUUCGGAGCGUAAAGCUCUGUUGUUGGUGAAGCGGUAAUCAACCAGAAAGUCACGGCUAACUACGUGCCAGCAGCCGCGGUAAUUC